CAACUACUCCCUCUGUCCCAAAUUUCUUGUCUUAGAUUUGUCUAGAUAUGGAUGUAUCUAAUACUAAAAUGUGACUUGAUACAUUUGUAUCUAGACAAAUCAAAGACAAGAAUUUUGGGACGGAGGGAGUACUUU
rnacentral:pre_miRNA from 1 species